ensembl:snoRNA SNORA62 Small nucleolar RNA SNORA62/SNORA6 family
CAUGCACAUUGUUAGAGCUUGGAGUUGAGGCCACUGGCUAGCUGAUGAACUCAGAAUUACAGGUAGUAUGCUACAUGAGGGGCAAGUCUUUUGGUAACACCACAAGGGUCUUUGUGCCAAUGAGUGGACUUUGAUAGUAAUUCUUGCUACAAGU